rnacentral:tRNA from 1 species
GGAUUGUGGCUCAGUGGUGGGGCACUUGCCUAGCAUGUGCGGGGUCCUGGGUUUGAUCCCCAGCACCA